AAUAGAUACCCGGGUAGUCCACGCCGUAAACGAUGAGUGCUAAGUGUUAGAGGGUUUCCGCCCUUUAGUGCUGAAGUUAACGCAUUAAGCACUCCGCCUGGGGAGUACGGCCGCAAGGCUGAAACUCAAAGGAAUUGACGGGGGCCCGCACAAGCGGUGGAGCACGUGGUUUAAUUCGAAGCAACGCGAAGAACCUUACCAGGUCUUGACAUCCUCUGACAACCCUAGAGAUAGGGCUUCUCCUUCGGGAGCAGAGUGACAGGUGGUGCAUGGUUGUCGUCAGCUCGUGUCGUGAGAUGUUGGGUUAAGUCCCGCAACGAGCGCAACCCUUGAUCUUAGUUGCCAUCAUUUAGUUGGGCACUCUAAGGUGACUGCCGGUGACAAACCGGAGGAAGGUGGGGAUGACGUCAAAUCAUCAUGCCCCUUAUGACCUGGGCUACACACGUGCUACAAUGGACGGUACAAAGAGCUGCAAGACCGCGAGGUGGAGCUAAUCUCAUAAAACCGUUCUCAGUUCGGAUUGGGGU
rnacentral:rRNA from 1 species